rnacentral:rRNA from 1 species
UACAGAGGUGGCAAGCGUUGUUCGGAAUUACUGGGCGUAAAGGGCGCGUAGGCGGCCGCCUAAGUCAGACGUGAAAUCCCCAGGCUUAACUUGGGAACUGCGUCUGAUACUGGGUGGCUUGAGUUCGGGAGAGGAAUGUGGAAUUCCAGGUGUAGCGGUGAAAUGCGUAGAUAUCGAGAGGAACACCAGUGGCGAAGGCGAGUCUCUGGACGAAUCCUGACACUGAGGCACGAAAGCUAGGGGAGCAAACAGG